AUCCAGUUGACGAGUCCGAAUAGGACGAAACGCGCGUCCUGGAU
rnacentral:hammerhead_ribozyme from 1 species